CAUACACACAACAACAUCCAGCUUCUAUAUCACAUCAUUCCAUUUCUUCACUCAGUUCAUGAAUUUUCCUGAACUGAGGAAUGUACUCAAUGUACUCAACAGAAUUUCUAUUUUGUUAAAGGAUUUAUUGUUAAUGGUUUCUUUUACUAGUCUUAGAACUAAUAUAUUUAAACAUAUUUGUUGAAUCUGAUAUUUUUAGUACACAAAUUCUUUUUAGACGUUUUUGGAUUCAAUAGUUUUUUCCAUGUUUUGACUGCUAUAUUAACUUGCUAUCACUAGAUGGCAGCAGUGCUCAAAUUAAUCAGCAGUCUACCUGUUGAACCCAGUAGAAGAAGUAGCCUACACAGAGAGUACACAGCUGCCAGAGAAGAGCUGGAGAAGUUUGUCAUGUGGCCCAGAGUAAGAAGUCUCUCUGAAAUCAACACAUCCUGCAGCUUGUUCUUCAGCUCACUGCUGAUGCAGAGACUGUCCACUGAAGGAAGGAAGACACAGUCAAAGGUUACCUGAGGCAGGCAUCACCAGCACCGGGGGGCUCCAGGGUCCACAGCCAACCGCGGUGCAGGCUGCCACCUGGAUGGAGGCG